rnacentral:rRNA from 1 species
AAAUUGAAGAGUUUGAUCAUGGCUCAGAUUGAACGCUGGCGGCAGGCCUAACACAUGCAAGUCGAACGGUAACAGGAAGAAGCUUGCUUCUUUGCUGACGAGUGGCGGACGGGUGAGUAAUGUCUGGGAAACUGCCUGAUGGAGGGGGAUAACUACUGGAAACGGUAGCUAAUACCGCAUAAUGUCGCAAGACCAAAGAGGGGGACCUUCGGGCCUCUUG